UACGGAGGGUGCAAGCGUUAAUCGGGAUUACUGGGCGUAAAGCGUGCGCAGGCGGUUUGUUAAGUCCGUUGUGAAAGCCCCGAGCUCAACUUGGGAAUUGCAGUGGAUACUGGCAGGCUGGAGUACGGUAGAGGAAGGUGGAAUUCCCGGUGUAGCAGUGAAAUGCGUAGAUAUCGGGAGGAACACCAGUGGCGAAGGCGGCUCUCUGGGACGGUACUGACGCUGAGACGCGAAAGCGUGGGGAGCGAACAGG
rnacentral:rRNA from 1 species